AAACUAGUGAAUAUGACUAUAUAGUG
rnacentral:piRNA from 1 species